rnacentral:rRNA from 1 species
AAGACCUUGCGCUUUUGGAGCGGCCGAUGCCUGAUUAGCUUGUUGGUAAGGUAAAAGCUUACCAAGGCUUCGAUCAGUAGCUGGUCUGAGAGGACGACCAGCCACACUGGGACUGAGACACGGCCCAGACUCCUACGGGAGGCAGCAGUGGGGAAUUUUGGACAAUGGGGGCAACCCUGAUCCAGCCAUGCCGCGUGAGUGAUGAAGGCCUUCGGGUUGUAAAGCUCUUUCAGCCGGAACGAAACGGUUACGGAUAACACCCGUGACUACUGACGGUACCGGAAGAAGAAGCACCGGCUAACUACGUGCCAGCAGCCGCGGUAAUACGUAGGGUGCGAGCGUUAAUCGGAAUUACUGGGCGUAAAGCGUGCGCAGGUGGUUUUGUAAGUCAGAUGUGAAAGCCCCGGGCUCAACCUGGGAACU